AGCAGAUUGGCCAUCUCCACCCGGCGCGGCCGGCACAGAGGAGAUGGGCAGACUGGAAACCUCAAACUGGAAGGCCUUCUCUGCCCAAAGAAGAGAUCCCAUUGAAGUUACAGAAGGUUCCCAGAACCUCCUGUCUUGGACUUUCUGAGGUGCUGUUAUUCGGGGCAACUAUCAAAUUCUACCUGUUAAAACAUGAUGGAUUAGAGAAAAAAAAAAACCCUCCAGGAACCUGAAAAACCAGCGUUCAUCUCCAUGACCACAGCUUGAACUCUCCUUCCAACUUAACGAUAAUAGGUUCUGUCUUAGAAACUGCUAUGUAAUUUGAUGUAUGGGGGUCAUUUGGCUCCGGACGAGGGAUGGAAGCACAAGCCAUAAAA